rnacentral:tRNA from 1 species
UGGCCCUUAGCUCAGCUGGUUAGAGCGCACCCCUGAUAAGGGUGAGGUCGGUGGUUCGAGUCCACUAGGGCCAA